rnacentral:rRNA from 1 species
AUGGGGGUCGCGGCAGCGCUAUGGGACGCCCUGUCGAAGGCCGCCAACCUGGCGCAGAUCUCCGGCCUGCUCGUCGCAGUGGGCACGAGCCUCCAGCGCAUCACGCAGGGCAAGCGGGAGUGCGCCAGGCUCGAGCGGUGCAGCCGCAGGCUCCAUGCUCUGCUUCAGUGGCCGACGGGCUGCGGGGCCGCGCUGCUGUGCUCGGAGAUGGGAGGCCCAGCUGUAAAGGCGCUCGUCGACGCUGCCGGCCUCGUCGACGACUACAAAAAGAGCACGCUGUGGCGCCGCGUCCGGUGGGACAGCAGCAUGGCGAACCAGCUCCGUGACAUGCAAGACGUCGUCGACUCCUACUGUGGCCUACUGCUCUUCAUCAACGCGCAUAUCCUGUUACAGCAGGCAACCCAUCAUCCCACCUUGUCAGAUACUCCAACUAGUACUACCAUGUACGAACGUGAAAUAGAGAUGCAAAUUUUAUUCAUUGUGAUUAGGCCACUACAACAGGCAACCAUGCCCUGGCUAAUUAGCACGUCAUCAUGUUAG